ensembl:lncRNA
CACACGGCGUCCGAAAGCCUGGGAGGGUGAGGGACGAUGACAAGAGCCCAGGUCCCCACCCCGUCCAGCCAGUUACGUCCAAGGAGGACUCGGCCAUUCAGUUAACUGGGUGUGGCCUCAGUUUCCCCACCCACAGAGGAGGACAGACCAGGAGUCAUCUGCAAAAUUCAGUAACAGAAGGCGGCUUUGGCCAACAAAACCAGACAUGAAAGUUGAAGAUGCAAAAAUGCACCCAAGGGCCCGUGCAUCCCCCAUGACACGCAUCUGAGGGACAGAAGGAGGGGUCGUGUGUCAUGCAGGAAAGGGCCACCGUGGCGGCCACCUCGAGGGGACAUCAGAGUUCCUCGUGUCUCCCAGCAAGAAGCAGGGGGAGAGCAAGCCAAGGUGGACAUGCCGAGCCCCGCCCUUCUCCGUGUCAGAGUCUCUGCACCCCCCACUCCCCACUCCCCACGGGCAGCAGACACGUCACCAACUUCCAGUCAACCACUGCAAACUCGUGUAGAGCAUAACCCAGGCCCUACAAGGGAAUUAACCCAAGCCUUAAACAGAAGCGAAUAAGCGGACCUCUAUGGACACGUUGUUGAGUGUGGCUGGCCCAAACACAGCGACAGCGGAGGACAUCAGAACCCUGCAUCUACCAUCUUCCCUCCAACCGCCGGACCUGGAACUGUGCACUCUCCCCCCACAAAUCCUCUUCACUGCACGGAUGGCUGCCAGCACCACACUCAACAUGGGACACUGAAGCCCAGAGUUUUACCCUUGUGCCCCAAGCCCCACCGACAGGCGGUGGUGGGCACGGCGCUGGAACCCUCAUCCUCCACGGGCCUCUGGCUUCACCCCAGCUCCUGCGACAGCCAUGAACUGGCCAAGAGCCAAGGACUGCAAACCUCCUCACCUCCAGGGCACUGUGGCAGCUGCUAGGAAGCCUGGCUGCAUCAGAGGUUCUCCCCCAGGGCUACGCAACGGGACCACCUGGGAGACGGUUAAACCCCCGAGGGCCAGGCUGGGAUGCAGACAGACUGGAGCAAUCGCUCAGAUCAGAAGGAAGCCCGAGCCCAGACAUACGAGCCCUGCUGGCGUGGUGUGGAGGGGCACUAACAUGAAACUCUGGAUUGUAAACACAGUGUGCGUUCAGGGGCCAAAUCAGACUGAAGCCACAGCAGACGCCAGGAGAGAAGCUGCCCGGCCUCCAGCCUCCCUUAGCAAUCCUGAAGGUGCCUCCACGCACGGGACUCUAAGCAUCCGAGUCUGAACAUGUCACGGCUUGAAUACAUGGGAGCUGUCCUAAACGCACGUUCAGUGCACAGUGGCCGGCAGCAACGGACCUGUCUCCCAGGUUCCUGACAAAACAUCUAUGAAGUCAUGAACAAGGUAACAGCUCCCAGCGACACUGAAACCCUGCUUACAACCCAGGGGAAGAGCAGCUCAUGCAAACCCUCUGAGCGAAUUUUGAUUCCUCGCUGUCGACAGACACAGACUGUGCUGCCGGAAAGGGGGCGACUCAGCCGCCUCAAAGAAGCCGGAGCUGCUGGUGCGGCUGAGCCCAGGCUCACAGCCGCGGCCCUGCAGGCCUGGUGCCGUGCGAGGUGGCUCAAGGAGGGCAUCUGGACGGGUCCCGCUCCCCCGGAACCACAGGCGGGAAGCAAAGGGCGGAAGGCGUGGCUCAUUCCCCAGAAUCAGUCAGCGAGUCCAAAGGGGAGGCGUUUUGUUUGAAGCCUCCGAGAUGGACAUCUGUGAGGCUGCCCACGUCCACACACCGUCGGACCAGACGGUCAAAGACCUGCGAUGAACGCUGGGGGGCGCUGCUUGCUAUCUGCGUGGGCGGUGGGUGUGGGUCUGCAAGGGGUAUCCACUCCAGCCAGCAAGAGAAGGCCCAAAGCCAGAUACCGAUGGAAACACACAUCAGGACAAGGAGAGAGAAGCUGUCCCGGAAAGCCAGACAAAGACCGUCACGGUACGCUGGGGUGGAGACCAAGAACCUAUUCACCUCCCCAUCAGCUAGUUCCCUGGACACUGGAGGAAUUAGCCUGUUCUGAACAGGGACAGCACGCUAGACUGCACUAGGGACCCCAGUAGCAGGUAUCUGACUCAACUGAGGUAAAUGAGCUAGGCUGGCCUGUGAGUCUCCAAGAGAGGGGAGCUCUCCACCCCUACAGUAGGGGUGACUCCCGCCCUCACACCAUUUCAAGGGCUCCCGUAUGUCCCCCUAGUCCUGAGAGCCUCUGCACCUCUUACUGUGUUUUCUCUUUAAC